UACGUAGGGUGCGAGCGUUAAUCGGAAUUACUGGGCGUAAAGCGCACGUAGGCGGCUUGUUAAGUCAGGGGUGAAAUCCUGGAGCUCAACUCCAGAACUGCCUUUGAUACUGGCGAGCUUGAGUUCGGGAGAGGUGAGUGGAACUGCGAGUGUAGAGGUGAAAUUCGUAGAUAUUCGCAAGAACACUAGUGGCGAAGGCGGCUCACUGGCCCGAUACUGACGCUGAGGUGCGAAAGCGUGGGGAGCAAACAGG
rnacentral:rRNA from 1 species